CAGGCGCCCUUUCCCUCGGGCGUCCCCGGAGAUGGGCGCCGCUUUCAGUCUCCUUUGCACCUGCAAAAGUUUGUUGGCGGAGGUACUGGCUUCGCCCGCAAAGAGAACCUUUUGGGUGUUCAGAUCAGCAGAGGAGUUCUCUUGGUCGUUUCAUUGCCCCCAGAAGUUGGUGUGUGUG